AUAUCCCCCUUUCCUUUCAAGGGCAUAAUCCUUUUUCUUUCUUUGCAGAUGCAGCAGCCCCAGCAGCCCCCACAGCCCCAGCCGUCUUCACAGCCCCAGAGCCAGCAGACCCUGGGUCUCCAGGCAGUGCAGCCCCAGCAACCUCUGUUCCCCAGGCCAGGCUUGCAGCAGACCCAGCAGCAGCAGCAGACGGCCGCACUGGUGCGGCAGCUCCAGAAGCAGCUUUCUAGUAAGUCCUCGUCUGGGUGGACGAACUGCCUGUCCUAUGUGAGCUCAGAGGGAGACACUCUGGGGGGCCAGUUACCUCAGCCCAAGGCCUCGCCUGGGCAGGUGUGGGAUUCUCCUGUGGAGCUGGGCCCUCUGCUAAGUUCGGUGGUGCUACUUGGAUCCUCCACGAGAGGCGGCCAGGGCGAGAUGUGCUGUGGGCAGUGGGUCUGAUCCCUGCACCCGAGGUGUCCUGAGAGCAGUAAGAGGAAAGCACUUACCUGCAGCACACUUUGUACCUGUGACGGCAUGUGACUCUUUCUUUCAUAGGUAACCAGCCGCAGCAAGGAGUGACUCCCUACGGGCACCCUUCACACUUCUGAAUUGGGAAGACAACCUGCAGUUUUGUGUUUGCACUGAAAAGUAGAAAAUCAGAGUUAAUGUCUCAGUCAUCCUGAGAAUGUCCCUUUGGUCUUUCAUUUCUUUGGUUUCCUAUAUUUUAUGCUAUAUUUCAUAUGGAGGUAUUUAAACAAAAAGCAAAGGAGAAGUUGUGCUUUGCAUUCAGCAUUGAAGGAGGUUUGGCAGUAUGGCUGACGGCUCAGGCAGGCCUCCUCCCCACAGAUGGUGGCAGCAGACCUUUGAAAUUGGUGCUUUUUUUUUUUUUUAAAGUCUUCUAGGUACAGAUAGAAUGAAUUAUGGUGGGUUUAAAUAUUUAUGGGUUCAUUAAUGAUUGUUUUGCUCUUUUGCAACUGUGCUGGACCAACUUCUGAUUUGAAAGGCAGAUCAGGUCUUGACAGGAAGCAACCCAUUCAUUCUGCAUUCACCUGUGAUGGGUAACUGGACAUUAAUCUGCGUCAUUAUAAUUUGAAAUAUUUGUAAUUUCAUGAGCACUUUAUGAACUUUCUUAUUUGUGUAGGACUUUGCUUUUGUUGUGGUCAAAGGUGCUGAACCAGGUUGUUGCUUAGUGACUUCUACGAUCACGACUUCCAUGGGAGCCUCUUAGAAGUUGCUGCACCUGACUUUGUUUUCAGUGGUGAGAGCAUGAACCAGAGUCUUCAGGAAGGUACAAUAUGUCAACUUUAAACACCUGGAAGGACCACCGUGGAAUCGUUCCUGUAUUUACUGCCAGUUUUGGGAAAAUGACUGUCCAGAUUUGGUUCUCCAGAGCUUUAUGCCAACUAGAGUGAAAAUCUUGCAGCUGGCUAGAGAGUCCACAGAGCUCAGACUUGACAUGGUUUCCAGAGACCCUGGCCCCAAAGUCCAGAAGGCUCUGGUUUUCAUAAAAGGUGUAUUUGCUGUUAAUUUUGUAUGGUAAGUAUUUGCUACUUUGAAUUUAAUUAUUAAUGUUGGUGUCAGUCUUGGUUGUGUAAUGCAUAUACUGUAUUUAUAAAUUGGUGCAAAAAGCACAAGUAAAUUAUACAUUAAAUUUAUUAUAAAGAAAUAGUAACUAUUUUAACUUUGUUCAAGUAUGUGGUAAUUUGCUCCUAUUAGAGUAAAGAAUACAGUAAAUUAUUAUCAGUUUGUGUAACUUAAGAGUAUUCCAUAUAAUAUUUUUUUAGAUUUAGAUGCAUAAAAUUUUGAAUGUGAAAAUUGCAGGGCAUUUUAAAAAACACAUGUGUGGGAUGUCUUCCCAUGUUCUGUGUUACUUCAUCUUUUUGCCAUAUGAUUUUACAUGUAGUCACGCAUACUGUGAAUAGAUUCGUCCAAUGAACAGACCACAUAGAACUACUUUUUUUAAAAUGUAGCUAGUUCCACUUAAGUAGAUCAUUUCUUUUGCGAAUCAUUCUGUAAGUAAUUCACAUCUUCCUGGGUGAGCUACUCAUUGCAGUUUGACUCCUGCCAAUGACCUCAAAUACACAUCAGCUUCCUGUGCUGUGGCAGCAUCCGUGUGAACUGCUUUUGUACACUGUGAAGACAUUCACUCCAGCCUGCCCCAAGAGGUGUUUACUCUGGGCUGGAACAGACUUUGCCAAAACAUUAAAGACCAUUCUUUUCACUAAAUUAACAUCCUACCUGCUUUCAGAAGAUGUACCUUUACAUUUCAGCUGCUUGUAUAGAUCAGGUUUUACCCUCUCCAGAAUCAUACUCAGAGUUCAUGAAGUUAUUUUUUUCUGGAGUGGUGGGUAUGUCUGGUGACUCACGGGCAGAACCCCUGAAACAUGAAUGUUGUGCCUAGUGAGUGAGUCCUAUUCUGUUUUUGGUCCUUGCUUAAGAAUCAUUGGUAUUUUGAAGGCAAAUUUUCAGUUUGAACCAUUAAUCGUUGUAGCUCAGUAUUGCAAACAGUGGCAAUACUGUGAGGAGUGAGUGUUAUCAUUGCAUAGCAUUUGUAUGCACUUUACAUUUUGCAGAAGUUUAUUUAUUAAUCAUUUUGCACAUGAAAGCUAUGGGGAGUACCUUUGUGGUUGCAUUAAGGUGAGGAGGCUAAGUCUUGAGUAAGUCCCUAUAAUUCUGAAACGCUAUGGAAGGUUUAGGAAAAACUAGAGCUGUUUUCUUCUUGUGCGUUAUAAGGAAAGCAAUUGGAACUUUUAAGUUAGUCAUAUUUCUCUAUCCUGAUAUGUUUCUUUUGUAGCAAAUGCAUUAGUUUGCAUUAAAGUGUUCACAAGGGAAAGCCCUGGUACAGAACCUUGUGAUUUGCUCGGUAAGUUGCAGAGAGAUUAGACUAAUAAGACAGAGACCCCAGCCCAUUUAAGAUAAGACCUUGAAAUCUAAUGGAAGUGGGUACCCCUAUCAAAACGCCUGGAUGUGAGGACCCCUUGGACACACCACUUACGUCAUAGGCUUGUUCCUCAUCAGGUUGCCUCCAUCCUUUUACCUACCCAUCUUGGUUCAGCAGUAGAGGGAGAUCACUGUCCAAGUGUCCUUUGAUCUCUUGCCAUUCACUGGAUACCCAGAUUGGUGGCAAACAGGUGACCUCUGAAAGGGAGUUCAUCCUCAUGUCUCAAGUGACUGGCAGGGCCAGCGUGUCUCAGUGUCCUUAGCUAUUUGUAUAAGAGCCAUGGCUUUUUCCCAUUUAUAAGGCUCUUAUAAUCCUAAAAUAAUAGGUAUAGAUGCUGGAGAAAUUAUAUUGGAAAACCCCAGCCUCUAGAAUUAGAAAAAUAAAUCAUAAUGUCCCCCAAAUUAAUUCAGAUUGAAUUAAGCAUGCAAUACGAAUAGUGAAUUACAAAAAGCAACAUUUUGGGUAGGGUUGAUCAAAUUUUAAAUACAGUGAAGCUUCAUUAUAUAAUAAUUUAAACUCUCCCAAACAUUUUCCCAGUGCAUAAAGAAUUAUUGCAUAAUGAAAUGAAAUGCCCAAAAGGAAGAUUCCUCCCCAGAAAACUUUCCUUAUGAACAGCUCUGAGCCAGGAGUUCCCAAGCUAGAGCUUAGUCAUAAAGGAGCUUCAUUGUAUUUUAAAAAUCUUUUUAAUGGAAAGAUUUGGACAAAGAUAUAAUCAGCCCCUUUUCACAUUUUAUGGUGUGUGCUAAAUUGCUUUUUACAGGUGGAAAAAUUAGCCUGCAUUUAUUUUUAAAUGCAGUUAUUAAAACGUUUUUGUAUUCCCCAUCAACAAAAAUUGUCAUUGUGAACAAAUGAUGAUUUGUCAUCAAAACAGUUCAGUGCUUGUUUUCUGUAGGUUUAGCAAAAUAUUCAUAAACCAAUGACAAACUCUUUAUACAUCAAGAUGGUGAGUUUGCAUAAGGACUGCAGAUUUAAUCUGCCCCACUGACUGUCCCCAGUGCCAUACUUGUAACACUGAUAGAAGGUGACACUAGGCAACUGGUAGUAGAAAGAAAAUAAGAAGUUCAUUCUUUACUGAAAAAUUCAGGUGCAUUAGCCAUUUGUUAUUUUACAGUGGACCAUUUCCUCUUAAUGUUUGUUAUUUGUUGGCAAAAUAAAAGUGCCUUAAGUUAAAAGUUUGUGUUGAGAUCCAUUCAAGAAAUCAGUAUCAGUUCAUACUGCACUUAAGUCUUUUUUUGCAUGUCCAUUGUAAAUUUAAUAUUGUAAAUGUAUCCAAGUUCAUUUACAUGCCUAUGGCUGCCUUUGAUUAAACUUCUUCCAAAAAAUAAAU
rnacentral:lncRNA from 1 species